rnacentral:rRNA from 1 species
GUGAACGCUGGCGGUAGGCCUAACACAUGCAAGUCGAACGGCAGCACAGUAAGAGCUUGCUCUUACGGGUGGCGAGUGGCGGACGGGUGAGGAAUACAUCGGAUUCUACUUUUUCGUGGGGGAUAACGUAGGGAAACUUACGCUAAUACCGCAUACGACCUACGGGUGAAAGCAGGGGAUCUUCGGACCUUGCGCGAUUGAAUGAGCCGAUGUCGGAUUAGCUAGUUGGCGGGGUAAAGGCCCACCAAGGCGACGAUCCGUAGCUGGUCUGAGAGGAUGAUCAGCCACACUGGAACUGAGACACGGUCCAGACUCCUACGGGAGGCAGCAGUGGGGAAUAUUGGACAAUGGGCGCAAGCCUGAUCCAGCCAUACCGCGUGGGUGAAGAAGGCCUUCGGGUUGUAAAGCCCUUUUGUUGGGAAAGAAAAGCAGCAGGUUAAUACCCCGCUGUUCUGACGGUACCCAAAGAAUAAGCACCGGCUAACUUCGUG